UAAAGUUGAUUCUGGAUUUGUUCUCCGACAGUAGUCUUCUAAAUUUAAAAUUACUAUUUAUUAUAACGAAAUAUAUCAUUAAUUAUUAAUUCGAAGUCCAAUAUUUUGAGCAUCCCAAAUUUAUUUGCUGUGCAGAAAAACACAUCAUUGGAUCAGUAAAUGAAGGGAAGAAGAAGUCCCAUAAAGGGUGAAAUUGAAAAAAGCCGAGGCUGAAGCCAAGAAAGCCAGCGAACAAGCCGCAGCCGCAGCAGCUGAAGAUGCCAAAAAGAAGGCAGCAGCAGCAGCAGCAGCUGCUAAACCCAAGUUCUAAAUCCUAAGUUAAAGGAAAAGCCUUUUCCCAAAUUUUGCAGUAGGUUGCAUUUGCUGCCAUCUACAGUGGCAACAGCUGUCAGUGGAAAAACCAGAAAAAUCAACAGCAAAGGCAUUUGUCGUUUAGGAAAAGUCUUCGAUAGCUGACAUUUUCAGCUGCAAUUGCUGUUAGGGGAAAUGACAACGGCAAGAGCAAUAGCUGCCAAGUAAACAGCAAAUGCAGCAUUGGAAAUUACAGGAAAAAUUCAAAUGAUGGGUUGUUAAGACAAAGGACUCUUCAAAGGAUAAAAAUAAGAUAAAACGAAGCAUAAGCAACAGCAGAAGCUGCAACGAAAUUGAAGGUUUCAUAUCAGAAGGAACAGCAUAAAACAUUUAGCUAAUUUUAAGCCACAACAGUAACUGCAAUAAUGGAAUGAAUAUUACAGCAUUGACAGUUGGAUCUACAUCAAAUGCAACAGCAACAUAGCAGCAACAUUGCCAGCAGCAUGAGCAACAUCCCCCGCGGCAGCAGCAGCAGCAGCAGCAGCAGCAGCAGCAGCAGCAGCAGCCGCAGCAAUCGCAGAUGGUCAGCUGCUCAGAAGAAAAGGCCACAUGGAGAGGCAGAUAACCAGUUUUGGUUUAGGCCCAUUCAAAAAUUAAAUAUAUCCACAGCCGGUCGAGCGAGAAGUUUAUCAUUUACGCUGACUGUGACCUCCAAUCCCUACCUUAUGCCGUCGCUUUCCCCUUUAAUCCCUCAAGCGCAAAUUAGUUAAACAAAAUUAAAAGUCAGGCCUGUUAAUUAUUCAUAGUAAAUCAAAAUGCUGAUCAAAUGCCAAA